ensembl:lncRNA
GGGGACUUGAAAUUUGUAUUGGGAGAUUGCCAUAACAUUUUUGGUGCUGUUAAGUUGUCCUGCAGCCGUUUGACACUAGUUCUAACUUCCUUUCAGAUGCAGACAGUUCAAAUCGGUGGCAGAGGGCACCAGCCCUGGGUGAUGAUCUUCCCAUGAGCAGGAGGUCCAGACAGAUAGCAGCAGUCAAGGCCCAGGGUGCCAGGUGAGCAGUGGACAGAAGCAGUUGUUCUUGCUCAGGUCUCAAUUUUUGGUGCAACUGUAAGCAUCCAUUCUUGUUUUUCUGCUUUAGGGAAUCCACUUGGAGUAUGCCUAGCAGCUGUCACCAACCGGCUGAUGGCCCGGGUUUCCUGUGCUUGUGAACCCUCUGGAAGCAUUACAGGACUCUGUGAUGAAGCCUUGAAAUUUUGUAUUUCAAGAUGGCAUCGGGGUAGCCUUUGGCAGUGGCCAAGGAGGCAGACCCUACAAUGACGGUGGCAGCCUCUGAGCAUGGCCAAAGUGUGCAGCCCGAGCAACUGGGCAUUCUUAGGAGAAUGCUGAGCAAGGGAACACAGCCCCGUGACCACAGGACCUUCCCAGCAGGCGAGGCAGCCUUCUCAACCCCAGAUGCUGGAGAGAUAAGUCAAGGGCUAAGGCCCACAGAGGGGAAUCAGCUUUGUGGGCGGGGAUGUGCAAGAAGUGCCCCUCUAGGCCACUUAAAGGGAAAGUGUCUGUUUAGAUCACAGUGCUGAGGUGCACAGGGCAGAGCAGUUCCGGUGUGUGUCCCGUCACUUGUCUCUGGUGCGUUCUGUGUUCUUUGGGUCUCUCGGUCCUUGCAGACAUUGUUCUCAUCUAAAGCUCUCUCUCCCUCUCCUGUCCCCUGGUUUGUCACGUCCUGUGUGUUGUCACGGGUGUGUGCCCACAUUUGUCCCACAACUGCUCUGCCCUGGUGCAUAGCUUGUAACAGCACAAGUUCUGGGGACUUGAAAUUUGUAUUGGGAGAUUGCCAUAACAUUUUUGGUGCUGUUAAGUUGUCCUGCAGCCGUUUGACACUAGUUCUAACUUCCUUUCAGAUGCAGACAGUUCAAAUCGGUGGCAGAGGGCACCAGCCCUGGGUGAUGAUCUUCCCAUGAGCAGGUCAGUCAUUGUUUGCAUUUGCAGGGGAAGCGUAAAUGGGUGACUGUGUUACAGCGGUGUUCUUUGCCUUUAUUUUUAGGAGGUCCAGACAGAUAGCAGCAGUCAAGGCCCAGGGUGCCAGGUGAGCAGUGGACAGAAGCAGUUGUUCUUGCUCAGGUCUCAAUUUUUGGUGCAACUGUAAGCAUCCAUUCUUGUUUUUCUGCUUUAGGGAAUCCACUUGGAGUAUGCCUAGCAGCUGUCACCAACCGGCUGAUGGCCCGGGUUUCCUGUGCUUGUGAACCCUCUGGAAGCAUUACAGGACUCUGUGAUGAAGCCUUGAAAUUUUGUAUUUCAAGAUGGCAUCGGGGUAGCCUUUGGCAGUGGCCAAGGAGGUGCGGCAAGUCACUGAGGUAGGGAGCGGGAGCCAAGGUCCGCUUAGGUUUCAGCAAUGCCGAGUCACUUUGUCUCUCCUUAACCCAGGCAGACCCUACAAUGACGGUGGCAGCCUCUGAGCAUGGCCAAAGUGUGCAGCCCGAGCAACUGGGCAUUCUUAGGAGAAUGGUGAGUAGCAGAAUUGCUGGGUUUUUUCCAUGGUGCAGCUAAGAUCAUGCAGU